CACAGACCCCCAGUUGGUAGUGCUCUUUGAGGAGGUUAUAAAACCUUUAGGAGUUGAAGAUGUGAUCUCUCAGCUUCCUGUCCUGCCACCAUGCCUGCUUCUGGCUGCUCUGCCUCCCUGCCAGCCAUGACAGACUCAAAGCCCUGGAACUCUCCUGAUUACCGUGGACCCACCAAGAUGUCAGGUCAACUGCCCAGUAUUCCUAAUUACAUCUGUGAAGUUCUUUACACCAUUUCAUAGCCAGGGACUACAAUGGAGACUCUAAAGGGACCCUAAUUCUGCUGAAACAAUAUAAUGUCUGAAAUUCACGAUCACAUUGUUAGAUUUCUAAUACUAUUACAAAAUAUGAGAGAUGAUCACCUUCAAAAUGGAAAGUUGACAAAAUGACUUAGCAAAUAAAGGUGUUUGGAACUAA